CGCCAUCACACACACACAUACACGUUUCUGUGUCAGUACUACGGCAAGCGCCCUUCUUCGCCCCGCCACUCAUCGGUGAAGCAUGUCUAUCUCUUCUUCCAGCGGCAACAACCACGGCGGCAACGCGCCGCCGCCGCCGCUAACGCCGGAGGAGAAGGCCGCCCGUGACGCGCGGCUGCAGCGCGAGCAUGAAUCGUACAUCCGCAGUAUCGCGACGAUGCGCUCGCUGCCGCGGCUUCGGUCCACCAUCGCCGGCGCCGGCGGUAAGACGAACACCAACACGCGUAUUGCAGAGGAGCGUGAGGAGGUACGCCAGCAGCACCUCCGCGCCGCGGCCGCCGCAGCAGCGGAGCUGCAGCAACGUCGUCAGGUGCAUCAUGAGAAAGUCACGAAACUAGAAAGCAUACAGGCGAAGAAGCGCAGCCGCCGCGCCGCCAAAAAGGCGAAGAAGAAGCAGCGACUCGAGGAGAAGUUGCGCAGCAGGCUGGACUCGGACUCAGACGCGAGCUCGGACGGCUCUGCUUUAUCAUCGUCAGCGUCCGCAUCGUCGUCACGUGACUCAGACGGCGAUGGCGAGGAUGCGUAAACGUGCGGCACAUUGUUUCCUACACACACACACACACAUGCACACUACGGAGAAACGGGUCGAGUGCGCGCGUUUAUGGCGGUGCAUGUGCAACCCUCCUCCCCCUCCCCUCCCGUCUCCCUGGCGCUGAGAAGUAGAGAUGCCGAGGAGAGGAAAGGAGUGACCGCGCAUCGCCGCACGCGUCUCGUGCACAGGUACCGCUUAAAGGAGCCAUGCAACCCUCGAAAACGGUUCCCAUGUCGUAGCAUUGAUCUCUCCCGUGCGUGUGCACGUGUGUGUGUGUGUGUGUGUGUGUGGUGUGUGUGUGUGUGUGUGUGUGUGCACGUGUGUGUGUGUGUGUGUGUGUGUGCACGUGUGUGUGUGUGUGUGCACGUGUGUGGUGUGUGGUGUGUGUGUGUGUGUGUGCACGUGUGUGUGUGUGUGUGUGCACGUGUGUGUGUGUGUGUGUGUGCACGUGUGUGUGUGUGUGUGUGUGUGCACGUGUGUGUGUGUGGUGUGUGUGUGUGUGUGUGUGUGUGGUGUGUGUGCACGUGUGUGUGUGUGUGUGUGUGCACGUGUGUGUGUGUGCACGUGUGUGUGUGGUGUGUGUGUGUGUGUGUGCACGUGUGUGUGUGUGUGUGUGUGUGUGCACGUGUGUGUGUGUGCACGUGUGUGUGUGGUGUGUGUGUGUGUGCACGUGUGUGUGUGUGCACGUGUGUGUGUGUGUGUGUGUGUGCACGUGUGUGUGUGUGUGUGUGUGUGUGUGCACGUGUGUGUGUGUGUGUGUGUGUGUGCACGUGUGUGUGGUGUGUGUGUGUGCACGUGUGUGUGUGUGUGUGUGUGUGUGUGUGCACGUGUGUGUGUGUGUGUGUGUGUGUGCACGUGUGUGUGUGUGCACGUGUGUGUGUGUGUGUGUGUGUGUGUCUGCUUUGCAUCAACAGUUGACAAGACUCGAAGAUACACACAGACAAUCACGCGCGCGCACAUCGAUGAGCGCCUCUCUCCAAGGCCCUGCGGCAGUGCCGCCCGUUGAGCGCGGGCUGGCAGACACUCACGCGCGUGUUGUUAUGCUUCACGGUGUGACCGCACACCUUUCUCUCUUGCUCUCCGCAACCACAUC
rnacentral:misc_RNA from 1 species